AGCAACACCGCGUGAGUGAAGAAGGGUUUCGGCUCGUAAAGCUCUGUUGUUAAAGAAGAACACGUAUGAGAGUAACUGUUCAUACGUUGGCGGUAUUUAACCAGAAAGUCACGGCUAACUACGUGCCAGCAGCCGCGGUAAUACGUAGGUGGCAAGCGUUAUCCGGAUUUAUUGGGCGUAAAGAGAGUGCAGGCGGUUUUCUAAGUCUGAUGUGAAAGCCUUCGGCUUAACCGGAGAAGUGCAUCGGAAACUGGAUAACUUGAGUGCAGAAGAGGGUAGUGGAACUCCAUGUGUAGCGGUGGAAUGCGUAGAUAUAUGGAAGAACACCAGUGGCGAAGGCGGCUACCUGGUCUGCAACUGACGCUGAGACUCGAAAGCAUGGGUAGCGAACAGGAUUAGAUACCCUGGUAGUCCAUGCCGUAAACGAUGAGUGCUAGGUGUUGGAGGGUUUCCGCCCUUCAGUGCCGGAGCUAACGCAUUAAGCACUCCGCCUGGGGAGUACGACCGCAAGGUUGAAACUCAAAGGAAUUGACGGGGGCCCGCACAAGCGGUGGAGCAUGUGGUUUAAUUCGAAGCUACGCGAAGAACCUUACCAGGUCUUGACAUCUUGCGCCAACCCUAGAGAUAGGGCGUUUCCUUCGGGAGCGCAAUGACAGGUGG
rnacentral:rRNA from 2 species